CGGGGUUUGUUGCAGGGUUUGGUUUCUGGGUUGGUGUUUUUGUUGUGCGGUAUGUAGUUGGUGAGUAUUUGCUUCAGGUUGGGGGGCUGUCUGUAAGCGAGGAAUGGCCUGUCUCCCAAGGUCUGUGGGUGAGGGAUCAUCCUUUAGGAUAGCUUAUAGAUCCUUAAGGAA